rnacentral:rRNA from 1 species
ACCAGACUCCUACGGGAGGCAGCAGUCGGGAAUAUUGCGCAAUGGAGGAAACUCUGACGCAGUGACGCCGCGUAUAGGAAGAAGGUUUUCGGAUUGUAAACUAUUGUCGUGAGGGAAGAAAUUGACAGUACCUCAGGAGGAAGCUCCGGCUAACUACGUGCCAGCAGCCGCGGUAAUACGUAGGGGGCAAGCGUUAUCCGGAUUUACUGGGUGUAAAGGGAGCGUAGACGGCAGGGCAAGUCUGGAGUGAAAGGCAGGGGCCCAACCCCUGGACUGCUCUGGAAACUGUCCGGCUGGAGUGCAGGAGAGGUAAGUGGAAUUCCUAGUGUAGCGGUGAAAUGCGUAGAUAUUAGGAGGAACACCAGUGGCGAAGGCGGCUUACUGGACUGUAACUGACGUUGAGGCUCGAAAGCGUGGGGAGCAAACAGGAUUAGAUACCCUACAA